GAUGAACGCUGGCGGCGUGCCUAAUACAUGCAAGUCGAGCGAACGGACGAGAAGCUUGCUUCUCUGAUGUUAGCGGCGGACGGGUGAGUAACACGUGGAUAACCUACCUAUAAGACUGGGAUAACUUCGGGAAACCGGAGCUAAUACCGGAUAAUAUUUUGAACCGCAUGGUUCAAAAGUGAAAGACGGUCUUGCUGUCACUUAUAGAUGGAUCCGCGCUGCAUUAGCUAGUUGGUAAGGUAACGGCUUACCAAGGCAACGAUGCAUAGCCGACCUGAGAGGGUGAUCAGCCACACUGGAACUGAGACACGGUCCAGACUCCUACGGGAGGCAGCAGUAGGGAAUAUUCCGCAAUGGGCGAAAGCCUGACGGAGCAACGCCGCGUGAGUGAUGAAGGUCUUCGGAUCGUAAAACUCUGUUAUUAGGGAAGAACAUAUGUGUAAGUAACUGUGCACAUCUUGACGGUACCUAAUCAGAAAGCCACGGCUAACUACGUG
rnacentral:rRNA from 1 species